UACGUAGGGUGCGAGCGUUGUCCGGAAUUAUUGGGCGUAAAGGGCUCGUAGGCGGUUUGUCGCGUCGGGAGUGAAAUCCACUGGCUUAACUGGUGGCUUGCUUUCGAUACGGGCAGACUGGAGGUAUGCAGGGGAGAACGGAAUUCCUGGUGUAGCGGUGAAAUGCGCAGAUAUCAGGAGGAACACCGGUGGCGAGGGCGGGUCUCUGGGCCGAUACUGACGCUGAGGAGCGAAAGCGUGGGGAGCGAACAGG
rnacentral:rRNA from 1 species